UUUUUUUUUUUUUGUCUUUUUAGGGCCACAUCCAUAGAAUAUGGAGGCUUCCAGGCUAGGGGUCGAAUUGGAGCUGGAGCUGCUGGCCUACACCACAGCUCACGGCAACACCAGGUCCCUAGCUCACUAAGCAAGGCUAGGGAUAGAACCUUCUUCCUCAUGGAUACUAGUCAGAUUCAUUUCCUCUGAGCCCUGAAGGGAACUCCUACACUGCAUUUUAAAACAUCCCAUUUAGGAGUUCCCAUUGUGGCUCAGUGGGUUAAAGAUCUGGUGUUGCCGUAAGGUGAAGCAUAGAUUGCAGAUGCAGCUCAGAUCUGGUGUUACAGUGGCUGUUGCACUGGCUGCAGCUGCAGCUGCAGCUCCGAUUCGACCCCUAGCCCAGGAACAUCUAAAUACUGAGGGCGUCGUCAUAGAAAUAAAAAUAAAAUAAAAUAUCCUGUUUAACUUAGAGUAGUCAUGAAUUUAUUAUGACUGUCACCCAGGCAACCACGCUGAUUCAGAUAAAACUCAAUGUUGGCUUGUUGGUUCAUUCUUUUAUUGUUUAUUCAUUCUUCAAACAUAUAAAAAUUAUUUAUUAUUUAGCAGAUAUUUUAAGAUAUCUACUAUCUUAAGAUAUCAUAAGAUACUGUCUCCAUCAUACAUGAACUGGGAACAACUACAGGCAAACCAGCAAAGUCCAUAUGGCUGAAUAACCCAAAUUGGACCCUUAACUGCUGAUGCUCCCCAGAGCCUUGGCUAAAAGAUACUGAUUAGCAAAACACUAGUGUUCGAUGAAGCUAAUAAGGUACAUUGAGGGCAGGUUGGGUAGGAUCUUGGAACACAUGUCUAUGAGGUGUUUGGUAAACCAUUCCAUAAACACCUGUUAUCAUAUGGGGCUUAAUCACUUAGAUAUAAUUUCAGCCUGAAGCUCGUUAGAAAAGACUUGUGAGGCUAACAUGGCAUAUCACAAUGCCUUCUUUUCAGCUGGCUUUUCCUAACACAGUUUCUUCUGAUAGAUCCAGUAACUGUAAUUUAUGCUUCUCCUACACAGAAGUGUUUUCCAGAUGUCAACAGUACUUUUUUUGUUUUACAGUGUCCCCCAAACUUGACUGGCACAAAAGCACGAAUGAAUGAAGCAACAAAGAAUUUAUUCAAGAAAUUUAAAGUUAUGGGGGAAUAGAUUUACAUCCCACAGCGAACAACCUAAUAAAUCCCAGUUAAAUACUGUGCAUCUGAAACAGAGUUUUCCUUUUUUAUCUUCUCUCCCCACGUAGAGCUCGGCUGCUUCUUGCUAUUCAUCCUCUCCAGUAAAUCCAGGAUGUAUUUCCAGUAAAUCUCCCCUUCCUUCUUCCAUAGAGGGAAGUGCCCAGGAUGCACUUUGACCAUUCAGUUGGCUUUUGCCAAAGCAUCGUCUACAUAAGGCUGCUCUUCCAUAGAUCAUCUGUUAAGGGUAUAUAUUUCUUAUAUCAGUAAUUUAAUAUACAUGUGCAUGGAACAUAUAUGUACACACCAGGAAAAAGAGCACAGUAUUAGUGCUGGUGUCUCGGUGGUAAGAUUAUACAUUAUUUUCUUUUCCAUAAUUUCUUGCAAUUUGUAAAAUUUCUAGGAUGUACAUAUUAUGUUUUUAAUUAUAAAAAAGACAUUAACAUUGAAAACAACUUCCCCCUACAUUUGCUGUGUCAUAUCCCCAUUUAGAACCUUACAGAGUUCCUUCUUUGCCUGCAGGAUCAACUCUGAUGCUUAGCACAGGAGCCUCCCCUUGCUUCAGCUCCCCCAUCUCUGACUGGUGGUUUACACCCUGAUAAUACCAAAUGGGGUUUUCCUGCACCCACCCCACCGGUUCAUGACUCUUUGUUCAUGUGGUGACUUUCACCAGGAUAUGGGUUUCCUUUCCCUGGCCACUUUCUGCCAUCUUUCCACCCCUAUCCACCUCUACCCCCCACCACCUCCACCCUCCCUCUCUGCCUGCUCCAAGCAGGCAGAAGCUCCUGGGAACCUCCCUGGGCAGCUUGCCUGGGAUCUAACUGCAUUUCCACCCUGGGAAUGAAAAAAUGUGUGCUUUUGUCCUUACUCUUCUUGACGGUAAGCUCCCUGGGGACAGGUACCAAAUCUUACUCAUCGUCAUAUUAAUAGCAUCUAGAAUGCUCCUUCACCAUGAUACAAGCUGCCAAAAUGGAACUAACCUCAAGCAACACUGGUAAAAGAAUUUCAGCCAUUAGUGAAUAGAUGCAGUGGGAAAAUCCUUAGCAUAAAAGACCUUCUUGUCCUUAUGCUACGUGUGUUCGAGACACUACUUUGGUUAUUCAAAGACCCAGAGCGCCAAGCACCAAGGCCUAAAAAUCAGUCUUUGGAGAGAUGAAGCAGGUAAUAUGAGUUGAAAAUAUUGCCCCUGUGCUGUGGCUCUUUGGUGCUGGGAGCUUUCUUAAUGGCAAAUAUGGGGGAAAGUUGGGAAGAAUGUGAUGUUUUAACUGACAGAAUUUUUAAGCUUCCCUUCCUAGUGUGCUUAGUAGAAUAUCUUUAACCAAAACUGCUGAGUGCAGAUAAAAUACUUUGCUGCUCUUUAAAUCACCCUAAUCUUGAAAGCAAUUAACCGUGCUUUGAUAAUUGAAUUGAUUUUUCCUUCCUCAUUGAGGAGCACUGACGUCGACUGGGGAACCCAAGGAAAAAUCUCCUGAAUAUCAUGAAAAAUUAGCUUUAUUGAACCGCUUAGCAUAUAUUUCAAAUAUUUUGUAAAGGUGAACUUACAAAGCUAAAUCAAAAAAUUAAAUGCAGUCAAGUAUGUGUGUACUUUAUAUUAUAGUUAAAAAGGAAUGAAUAAUUCUGGAGCCUUUUUUUUUUUUUUUAAUAAAAGGAAAGUAUAGGGUUUUCCCCUCACUUUCAAGUAUAACUCAAAAGCAGUUCAACCAGUUUGGUUCAGACUUGUCUAAGUUGACUUUUUUAAGUUGUCUAAGUUAACUUGGCCAUGGUGCUCUUGGCUGAGACAACGGCAGAAAAAUUUCCGUAGAAAGGCAAUUAUUGCUAAAUGUAUCCGGAUUGUUAGAAUGGUUGGGGCUUAUCAACCACAUUAUGGUAAAAAUGCUUAACUCUAGACAAUAUGGUAAAAAUGCUGAUCUGGACGGAGAAAUUAUAUUACUGCUUUGGCUCAGAAAGGCCACAGAAGUGGUCAUUAUUUUUAUAAGAUUACAAAGACUACAGAGAACAUGCUGCUAUAGUUUGGAUGUUUGUGUCCUUCCAGAAUUCUUACAUUGAAAACUCCCCUCCCCCAAGGUGAUGAUAUUAGGAGGUGAGGCCUUGAGGGUGAUGAGGUUAUGGGGACAGAGCACUUAUGAAUGGGAUUAGUGCCCUUGUGAAAAGGCUCUCUUGCCCCUUCUGCCACGUGGGGACAAAAUGAGAAGCUGGCUGUCAGCAACCCAGAGGAGGGAAUUCCCUAGAACCAGACCAUGCUGGCGCCCUGACCUUGACUUCCAGCCUCCAGAACCAUGAGAAAAAGUUUAUGCUGUUUAUUAGUCCCCAGCAAACGGUGCUUUCUUAUGGCAGCCUGGAUGGACUAAGGCAUGUUUCUUUGCAAUGCCUUCCCACACCGAGGAUGCCAUGGCUGCAGUCUUGGCAGAAGUGCAGAUCCCGGAGGAAUCUGCUGCAUUCGGGGCUCAUUUUCUCACUCUCUGGGUUUGCCAGGUCCACUCAGCAUGCAUGUGUGGUGUCCUUUAAGCUGUACCCCAAGCUGAUUUGGUUCCCAAUCUUUAUUUCCUAACACCACUUGCUUUUUCCUCUUUUCUUUUGCUUUUUUUAGGGUUGCACCUGCAGCACAUGGCAGUUCCCAGCCUAGGGAUGGAAUCAGAGCUACAGCAGCCAGCCUACACCACAGCCACAGCAAUGCAGGAUCUGAGCCUCGCCUGAAACCUACACCACAGCCACAGCAAUGCCAGAUCCUUAACCCACUGAGUGAGGCCAGGGACUGAACCUGCAUCCUCAUAUAUGAGAGUCGGAUUCAUUUCCGCUGAGCCAUUAUGGGAAUGCCACAAAACUUUUUUUUUUUUUGGACAUUGAUUCAGAAUUCCAUUGAUUCCUAAUUCAGAAAGCCAGGAAUAUUAAAUAGCCAGACUUCUUUUUCAUAGAUACACUUGAUGACAAUUCCUUUUUAUAACUGUAGCUUUGAGGUACUGAAGAAACCAUGAAAUACUCAUUUGAUUGGCAGCAAAUCAAGAUCUUAGGGUGAGUUUUAAUGCUAAGGAUAGCUUUUGAAUUGAUUUGCUUUGAAAAUGGGUAAUCUUCCGUUGGUAUAAAAUUUCAUUCAUGGUAUUCAGCCAGCCAGAUUUCCUGAUGCCCAAUGAUUCUAGACAAAUUGCCAUUUUCUGUACAAAUGUUAGAAAUUUCACUCCAAAAAUUGAAUUGCAUGGCUGUUGAGUAUGAAAGUAUGCAUGAAAUAAUCUACAUUAACACAAUUUAAAUGAUAACAUCCUCGAGUACUUUAACUUCAUUAAAGAAAGAUACAGAGAUCCUGUUGUAGCUCAGCAGACAUGAAUCUGACUAGCAUCCAUGAAGAUGCAGGUUCGAUACUUGGCCUUGCUCAGUGGUUAAGGAUCCAGCGUUACUGUGAGCUGUGGUGUAGUUCACAGAUGUGGCUUGGAUCCCAUGUGGCUGUGGCUGUGGUGUAGGCCGGCAGCUGCAGUUCUGAUUGGACCCCUAGCCUGGGAACCUCCAUAUGCCCCUGGUGUAGUCCUAAAAAGACAAAAAAAAAAAAAAAAAAAAAAAGAGAGAAAGAAAGAUACCAUUUGGGGGGAACUCUUUAAUAGCAGGGUAUCUUUUGAGGACCGAAUCAAAACCAGUUCAAUGCAUAUAUUAAUUUUUUCUUACGUUUUUGUCUCCAUUUAAGAACAUUUUAUUUAGUCUACAUUCAUUGGUCAUUUACUCUAUGUACCACAUUCCAAAAGUUACCAAGAAAAGAAAUAUAAACAAAACAAAAAAAUACUUAUACAUCUUGCUGUGUAGAGUCCACAGGUUUCUCAUGACUAUUCUCUUACACCAUUCACAAAAGUUGAAAUGGAAUCAAGAUUUUAAUGGAAUACCUAAAACUCUUAGAAGAAAAUGCAAGAAAAAAGCUCCUUAACCUGUGUCCUGGCAAUAAUUUUUUGGAUAUGAUCCUAAAGCACAAACAACAAAAUGAAAAAUAAACAAGUGGUACUACAUAAAACUAAGAAGGUUAUAGACAGCAACAAAUAAGAAUAAGAAAGCAAAAAACAACCUAUAAAUUAGAAAAAUAGUAUUUGCAAACCACAUAUCUGGUAAGGGAUUAAUAUUCAGAAUAUGUAAAGAACUUAGACAACUCAAUAGCAAAAAAACAAAUAGUUCAAUUAAAAAAUGGACAAACAUCCUGCGUGGACAUUUUUCCAAGGAAGACUUAUGAAUGGUCAAGAAUCAUCAGGGACUCAGUAGAGAAAGGCG
rnacentral:lncRNA from 1 species